AACGCGAAGAACCUUACCUGGGUUUGAAAUUCACCGGAAGACUCCAGAGAUGGUGUUCGUCCUUCGGGACUGGUGAACAGGUGCUGCAUGGCUGUCGUCAGCUCGUGCCGUGAGGUGUUGGGUUAAGUCCCGCAACGAGCGCAACCCUUAUCCUUAGUUGCCAUCGGGUGAAGCCGGGCACUCUGGGGAGACUGCCAGCAUAAGCUGGAGGAAGGUGGGGAUGACGUCAAGUCAGCAUGGCCCUUACGUCCAGGGCUACACACGUGCUACAAUGGUCGGUACAAAGGGCUGCCAACCCGCGAGGGGGAGCGAAUCUCAUAAAGCCGAUCUCAGUUCGGAUUGCAGGCUGCAACUCGCCUGCAUGAAGUCGGAAUCACUAGUAACCGCAGAUCAGCUACGCUGCGGUGAAUACGUUCCCGGGCCUUGUACACACCGACGCGUA
rnacentral:rRNA from 1 species